ACUUCGAAUUUUUAUUUCCUCUUCCUGGAAAGCGCAUGCUGGCUUCAGGUCUUAGUUAAAUGUUACCUCCCCUGAGAGGCCUUUCUUGGUGACUCAAUCUAAACUACUUUCCCUAUACCCACUUCACUCUCUCUCACUCAUCCUGUGUGAUUUCCUUCAUAGCAUUCAUCAUCAUCUGUAGCCAAGUGUUUGCUUAUUGCCUGUGUUCCAAGCUGGCAGGAAGCACCCCCCAGAGAAGAAAUGUCACCAACCUCGCUCACUGUGGUAUUCCAGAACUCAAUAAAUGCUUGUUGAAUGACUGAAUGGAGUCAACGUGGCUGAUUUGGUGAACCAUAGAAUCGAGUCAGAAGUACAGGAGACAUCUUGACACUAAAAGUAACUGUUUAUUGUUGGCUGUUCUGGGACGGUGGAAGGCCUCUACUCCAUGCAAUCAUUCAGGAAACCAAGCUGAUGGAAGCUCUGCAAUCUCCAACCAGUUGUUCUGUUCAUCCUUGACACCUUCAUUCUUUGGGAAGGGGGACAGCAUCGAAGGGCUCAGGAGGUUGUGCCAGUCUAGCCCUUUUUAUCAUUUUACCAUUUCCACCCUUUUUCCGUUGGAAAGGACAUAGUCAUUUAGCCACAUAACUGCGAAUGAAUCUAGGAAUCAUGGAGGAAAGGGUGAAUGGAUUUUAAUGGACAAUUAGCAGUCUCCGACAUGAGAUUUGGGAGAGGCCAACAGUGCUAAAACAAUAAUUUUUAAAAAUGUAUUUAGAAGUUGAGAGAAGGUAGAAAUCAGCGUGGAACAAAAUCUUCGGGAAGAGAUGGGAUGUGAUGGAACAAAAAACUGGAUAAAUGAAGAAAAAAGAAAUACAACUCACUCAAUAAAUACAUAUGGGUGCACUGUAUUUUGGAGAAAGAAUAUGUUUGCAAAGCUUUUUAAAUUAAAUCUUCAUAAGAAUGUGGGAGUAAAUGCCAAAGGAAUUCGUGAGUACCUAGUUUAAUGAUAAUCCAAAACAAACUUUAAGAAAACAAUGGAGAAAAAGACUUGUGGCUUCAAGGAUAAGAAUCAACCUUUGGAUUGGCCCCUGCCAGUUGUGUUGAACCUUCUGAAAUAGACACAUGGAGACUUGGAAAGAGACAGAUGGUGGUUGGAGCAAUGACAAAUGACUCAUCGCGGAGGAGCAAGGUGAGCCCAAGUGUCUGGAGAAUGUGUGGGUAAGUACACAAAAGUCAUUACAGGAAUUACAGGGUCUAGCAUGGCAUAGAAAGAAAGGGCUGGAAGAUGAAAGCGAGAUUGCUGGAAAGUCUGGAUGAGGAAUAUUAAGAACUCCCGGCUUGCUGUUCUUACCCAUCACAGUCAGAUAACUACGUAUCUCACACUCUCUCAGGAGAGGUUUGUUGCCUGGAGAAAAGCCAGAGAAGUUUAGGACUUGGGACCCCACAAGAAGAAGAGGGGAAUGCCAAACUGAAAACAGGGGAGUGCUGAAAUCUGCAUGCGGAAUGAUGAACCUCAACCCCUGUCCCCGCAACGUCCAGCUCCAGAAUGCCAGUCAGGCUCAUUUGUCUUUAGACAGACUGAGCAUCCUUCACUGGAGAACCUAAACUUUCCCGGAAAAAAAAGUCUCCAGAUACAGACAUUUGGGGGGCUUGGCACACAACUGAUCGAGUCCCCUACAACUCUCCCACACUCUGCAUCUCUCCGAGACCUCUCAUGCGCACAGAGCUUCCAGCAAGGUGAAGUAGGGAAAGCCCAGAGUGGAAAACCUGAGGAAGCCCUUCUUCCAUUCGUAAUGAGCACAGUCUUGACAUUGCGUGUGUGCAAUUCUGAGCAUCUGUGCUCCCCCUUGCAUUUUGUGUCCCAGGCAUUUUGCUCACCUUACUAACUCCUGGCUCUGGUUUCCAAUCAGCUUUAUAAUGCCCCAAUAUUAUAUAUGCAUGGACAACCAAGGAUCGCCAGAUAUUUAAAGAAAGCUUCUAAUAUCCAAGAGAGACCCCACAACAAACAAAGUGGAAAAAAAAAAACCCUCAGGAAAUGGAGAUAAUGUGAGGAGAAUUUAAAAAAUCUUCCCAGGAACUAUAAUUUUCACAUCCUUGGAGAGAAAAGAAAUGUCGCAUCUAUUUAAAAGAGAAAGUGAGUGGCACAAUGAAAAAAAAUGAAGAAAAUAUCAACGCGAUCUAGGAAAUUAAAAAUAUGAUAACAAAAUACAAAUUACUGGAAAAGCUGGAAGAUAAAAUUGAAGGCUAUCCCGAAAAGGAAAGCAAAAAAGACAGAAAGGAAAAAAAGGGACCGUUGGGAAGAAAUGCUAAGAAAGUCAGAGUCAACACAGAAUAUUCGAUAUCUUAUCAAUAAGGCUUCCAAAUAAGGAAACGAAAUGAUCAGAAGUAUAAGAAAAUGUAGAUGCCCAGGGUUUAUCAUUGGAGAGUUCUGAUUCAGAAGGUCAGUAGGCUGAAUUAAUGGAUUGAUUUUUUAUCUUUCCUCCAGC